rnacentral:rRNA from 1 species
UACGUAGGGGGCAAGCGUUGUCCGGAAUUAUUGGGCGUAAAGAGCGUGUAGGCGGCCAGAUAAGUCCGCUGUGAAAUCUCGAGGCUCAACUUCGAGCUGUCGGUGGAAACUAUCUGGCUAGAGUCCGGAAGAGGAGAAUGGAAUUCCUGGUGUAGCGGUGAAAUGCGCAGAUAUCAGGAAGAACACCUAUGGCGAAGGCAGCUCUCUGGGACGGUACUGACGCUGAGACGCGAAAGCGCGGGGAGCGAACAGG